UACGUAGGGGGCAAGCGUUGUCCGGAUUUAUUGGGCGUAAAGAGCGUGUAGGCGGCCAAGCAGGUCAGCUGUGAAAACUCGAGGCUCAACCUCGAGACGUCGGUUGAAACCGCUUGGCUAGAGUCCGGAAGAGGAGAGUGGAAUUCCCGGUGUAGCGGUGAAAUGCGCAGAUAUCGGGAAGAACACCCGUGGCGAAGGCGGCUCUCCGGGACGGUACUGACGCUGAGACGCGAAAGCGUGGGGAGCGAACAGG
rnacentral:rRNA from 1 species